CCUCAGACUUUAAUUAUUAUCAGUUCCUCUAUGUUAAACAGAUGGGUUUACAUAAAAGCUUUGAGUAUAGGGUUUUUGUUUUUUUUUUACCAAGCAGAAUUGAUCAUUGUUGAGCCUUUUCUCCCCAUAGUGACUCAAAAGUUACGGAAUAUGUAUCAUGCAGAAUACUGUGCUAAAUACAGUAAAAAGAGGUGACAUGAUCAGCAAAGUGGAAAAAAUAGAAUAUAAGCCCUUUCCUUAAGAAGAUUAUUCAUUUGUUUUGUUUCUUUGCUUGAAUUAAGUCAGGUCUAAAAUGUGCUGGGAUUGGAGAUAAAGAGAAAACUAAGAGACUAAUCAAGUCCUCUGGUUUCCAAGGAUUCACAGCUAACUCAACAUCUGUUUACUGAUCUGACUAGGAAUAGAAUAUAGUAAGGCAGAUUAAAGCUGAAGGACCACAGACAGGUUGGGUAACAUAGUGGUUAAAAUCUUUGAGCCAAAUGGAGUCAAGGUACAACUUCAG
rnacentral:lncRNA from 1 species